UACGUAGGGUCCGAGCGUUGUCCGGAAUUACUGGGCGUAAAGAGCUUGUAGGCGGUUCGUCGCGUCGUUUGUGAAAACUCACAACUCAAUUGUGGGCGUGCGGGCGAUACGGGCAGACUGGAGUACUGCAGGGGAGACUGGAAUUCCUGGUGUAGCGGUGGAAUGCGCAGAUAUCAGGAGGAACACCGGUGGCGAAGGCGGGUCUCUGGGCCGAUACUGACGCUGAGGAGCGAAAGCGUGGGGAGCGAACAGG
rnacentral:rRNA from 1 species